rnacentral:rRNA from 1 species
UACGUAGGGGGCAAGCGUUGUCCGGAAUCAUUGGGCGUAAAGAGCGUGUAGGCGGCCCGGUAAGUCCGCUGUGAAAGUCCAGGGCUCAACCCUGGGAUGCCGGUGGAUACUGUCGGGCUCGAGUCCGGAAGAGGCGAGUGGAAUUCCUGGUGUAGCGGUGAAAUGCGCAGAUAUCAGGAAGAACACCCGUGGCUAAGGCGGCUCUCUAGUACGUGACUGACGCUGAGACGCGAAAGCGUGGGGAGCAAACAGG